CAAGUCAAGGGGGCCCAGCAAUGGGCAACCGGCGAACGGGUGCGUAACACGUGAGCAACCUACCGAACUGUGGGGGAUAGCCGGCCUAACGGCUGAGUAAUACCGCAUACGCUUUCAGUGAGGCAUUUCAUUGAAAGGAAACCUACGGGACAGAUCGAGGGGCUCGCGGCCUAUCAGCUAGUUGGCGAGGUAACGGCUCACCAAGGCGACGACGGGUAGCUGGUCUGAGAGGAUGGCCAGCCACAUUGGGACUGAGAUACGGCCCAGACUCCUACGGGAGGCAGCAGUGGGGAAUCUUGCGCAAUGGCCUAACGGCUGACGCAGCGACGCCGCGUGUGGGAUGAAGCUCCUCGGAGUGUAAACCACUGUUGCCCGGGACGAAUAGCUCGAUUAAUCGAGCCUGACGGUACCGGGUGAGGAAGCACCGGCUAACUCCGUGCCAGCAGCCGCGGUAAUACGGGGGGUGCGAGCGUUGUCCGGAAUCACUGGGCGUAAAGGGCGCGUAGGUGGUUUGAUAAGGGUGUGGUGAAAGUCCGGGGCUCAACUCCGGAUCUGCCGUGCCGACUGUCAAACUCGAGGGCUGUAGAGGCAGACGGAAUUCCGGGUGUAGCGGUGGAAUGCGUAGAGAUCCGGAGGAAGACCGGUGGCGAAGGCGGUCUGCUGGGCAGUUUCUGACACUGAGGCGCGACAGCGUGGGGAGCAAACAGGAUUAGAUACCCUGGUAGUCCACGCCGUAAACGAUGGGUACUAGGUGCCUGGGGGAGCGACCCUCUGGGUGCC
rnacentral:rRNA from 1 species